rnacentral:rRNA from 1 species
UACGGAGGGUGCGAGCGUUGUCCGGAAUCACUGGGUUUAAAGGGCGCGUAGGUGGGUUGGUAAGUCAGUGGUGAAAUCUCCGAGCUUAACUUGGAAACUGCCAUUGAUACUAUCAAUCUUGAAUACUGUGGAGGUAAGCGGAAUAUAUCAUGUAGCGGUGAAAUGCUUAGAUAUGAUAUAGAACACCAAUAGCGAAGGCAGCUUACUACGCAGUUAUUGACACUGAGGCUCGAAAGCGUGGGGAUCAAACAGG